rfam:Virgibacillus sp. SK37, complete genome.
ACGAUGUUCCGCUGUCACUUAGAGAGAUAUGAGCAUUGG